UCAGACAGAGCUUUUUAUACCAGCUGCAGAGGAACCUAAAGGGACAACGCUCCCUGCAGAGGCACCAGAUGUGCGCUGUUAUGGGGAGCAAGGAGGGGGGUGAGGCAUCAGAUAAGCCCUGUUCCCAAAGCCGGGACGGAUCGAGUAUCAUCAUCGGGGGCGAAACCCAAACCCUGCGCAGUGGGUCGGAUUUCUGUUUACACGAGCGUGGUCCCUGGAUUCCUCAAACCAGAGCAGACCAGAGAGCUCGGCGACACUGUGAGGUCUGCGAGACAGAGGCUUUCAAUGAUGCAGAAGAGCAAUGGAAACCAACUGUCCUAAUGUAGGCCAUACUGCACUGUUAACGUGUUAAUGGACAAAAUGAGGAAAAUUGUAGUAAAGUUAUAAAAUAAAAGUUGUUACAGCUAAC
ensembl:lncRNA